ensembl:lncRNA
UUAUAGGUUUCUCUUCCAGAGAAAAACAAAAACACAAUAAUUUAGUCUUUGUAUUUUUCAGUGCAGAGGUUGACUCAAAGUGCUUCAAAUUGCACUGCGAUACAUUCUUCACACUCUGGACCUCUUGUGGAAAAGAACUCGCAGUAAAAAUAGUGAUAACCGACUUGCAAGCACAUCCCGCAGACCAAAAAAAAAAAAAAAACACAAAAAACGUACAAAUUAAAUAAAAUACAACAAUAAUUAAACAAAAGUCAUAUUCUCUGCAAUCAAAACUUAGAUGUUUAAAGAUAAACAUUAAAAGUUUGAAGUUCAACACAAUAUGCAAUUAAAAUGUCACUUCAGGUCAAAGGCCAAGCUUCUCACAUUCAAGAAAAAAACUAAAGCACACACACAUUAAAGCAGGUCUUUUCUGAGCUGUCAGAUGCUCCCCAGAAAUAAAGACUUAGUUUAAAUUGAUGACAAACAAAGCAGAGCACCCCUUAAAACAAUAGUUUUUGUUCAGGAGCAAAAUAAUCAUAAUAAUAAUUUUUAUUCUUGCAAAUUCAGUCAAACUGUUUUGCUUGGCCACAGCUGGAAGCUAUCAAGCUCAAACAGCAGGUACAACUUCAGAGUCACAGAGAUAAACUUACAGCCUGGUCAGUGUGUUAGCCAGCAGAGAAGACCUGCAGCAGCUGCAUGCAUUGUCUCACGAUCUAUUACAGUAUAUGGGCGCCCCCUAGCGCACGAAUUUUACGCUUCCAACCAGAUUCAAUUUAGAGCAGCCGUCCGACACGGAAACAGCUUCAGUCUCGUCUCUCUCAUCGACCAAACUAAUGAGCAGCACUUAAAAAUGAUAUCCCGUGAACAAGAGGAGUCUGUAAAUAAAUUCUCCGAGAUGAUACGACUCACCGAGGAGCCACUUUUUAAAUCGAGAGAUCACCCCAUUGAUGGCGACUGGACCCAAUAUGCCAUGGCAUUUUUAUCUGCAACAUUGCAUAAUAGCAAUCAGCAGCCUUUAACACUCCAGUAAAGGUUGUUGCUCUUGUCUCAUGCUGACGCUGUUACGUUGGUUGUGUGUUAAGAAAACGGGUUUAAGUGUCUGCGUGUGUGUUUUGCUUCAUUUACAGAACAUCUUGUGAAAAAAGCAAGGUUUCAAAAGGUUAAGAGGCAGCAGAAUUUUCAUUUAAAACAUUAAAAUGCAGUGAGUUCUCCACUUCCUACCUGCCUGCCUGCAUGUCCGCCUGCCUGCCUCAAGGGCUGCUAUCUAAAAAGGGAACGAUUCCAGAUAGAUAACCAUGCUCAAUUUGCCAAUGACAGAUCAUAAUGCCAGUUUCAACAGAUAGGAAUCAAUUUGUCUCAAUGAUCGCUCUGUAGGCUAACUGCCAGUGUGCUCCUGAUGUAUAUGGAAAUGUUUAUUGUUUAAAUCAUUGCUGGCGGGUCUGAAGUGAUCAAAACUGCUGAUAGGAAGAUGAGUGGUGUAAACAGAGCCUUGUUUUGGCUGCUAAAGACUGCAUCAAUGGUGCAUGCAUGGCGAUUACUUCAGGCAGCAGCAUUGUAACAGCGGUGGCCACGGGGUCAAUGGUUUAACUCUGAGGACUCGCUUGAAAAGUCUGUAUGGAGGAAUUGUGUGAUAAGUGCUCUCUAACCCCCAGAAACUACAGCUGAAGCACCCUUCGGCGCAGCAGCUUAAAUCCCAUCUGUCCCGGUGGAGCUGCACGGUGACCAUCAAUGCUAAACUGCGGUUGGACUGAGCACUUACGUGUCUCUUUGAGUCCCCUCUUUUCUCUUUAAAAAGAGGAGAGUGGGCCGUCGACUCGCCACAGACUCCUUUUUUUUAUGCUCCUGAAGUGACAAGGUUUUGGAGAUGACAAGUGAGAAAGCUGUGGCAGCAUUCAGGUCUAAGCCAGACAUGUGGCCCCACAGACCGCAGACAGAGGAUUGGAUUACUGUAAUUUAAGGUGUAAUGUGGUAGCACCAGGGGAUAUGUUAAAUGUCCACAGAAGUAUUUAGAAGUUUAACUUGAGCUUAUACCUUUUAUUUAGCGUUAAAUUGUGCGGUUUAUUUUCUCGGAUCUCAAUUCUAAUCAGACAUAGUAGACACACAUUAAAUUAUCUUUAAUUUGACCAAUUUGUUACAGUAUCUAACUCAAGUAGAUUACAUUUAUUUUUAUUUUUUGCUAAUUCUUUUCUUGUUCAAAUGCAUGUUUGUACAUUUUCAUAAAAAAACGUGUCUCGACUUAUGAUGCUGUAGCACAGAUUACUGCAGUAAAUUGGCCACUUAUGAGUUGGAAUUACAGCUAAACUAGCUAGCUACACAUUAUUUUAUGUUCACUGGGCCCCACCUGUCAAUUCUGUGUCUAAUAAAGUUUUUACAUAUUAUCUGUCUUGAUUGCUUUUCUCUGCACACCCCAGAGUAAGGAUUAAUCUUUCAAGUUCAUUUAAAAAUUGUAAAUCUCCUUUUUUUUGGUGAAAAUUCCUUAUCUCUUGGCAUGUUGCUUAAAAUCUACAAUGAGGAGUUAGAGCAGAACUUAAAGGGAUGCCUCUAAGUGUAGGCCAAUAAUAUUUUGAUGAGGUGGUUUUGUGAAAACCCAGGCUCUGCAUGUGCGAUUUAAAUAUUCAAGGUGCAGUUCUUUGUCCUAAUCCAACAACUUGUAACAUAAACAUGUUUAGUUGUAAUGUGGUUUAUGACAUAGGUUACAGAUCGACAUUGAUGGGAUUUUACUCUCUGGGCUUUGUUGUCAGCACAAAGAAGAUUGUGAGAAUUUUACAUCAAAUCCGGUCACGCCCAAGAUGGAACACAACAAGAGGACGCUCUUGAAAAAAAUAACUGCUCGACCAACAAAGUGGUUUCUCACAGAAAUCUCUGCAGAAGGUCACUUCUUUAUCAACAAUAAAAUGUUAUUUACAUCUCUGGUUUUUGUGAACGCACCUUGUUGUAUUAG